rnacentral:lncRNA from 1 species
UCACAGCAGCAAACACCUCUCUCCCUUAUUUCUUCUCCUUUUCUCUCUCUAAAAGCUCUCCACCAAAGCUUAAAGAGAAGGAGAAGAAGGUCUUGAAGGUGGAUUUUGAGGGUUUUGGAGGAUCAAGAAGCUCUCCUUCAUGGUGGACUUGGAAGAGCUUAGGCUAAGGUGAGUUAUUUCGCAAGAAUACUUCUAGGGUUUAGAUUUAUAUCCUAAGAUUUAGUGUUUUGGACUUCUUGUAAGACUAGAACCUCUCUAGAGGCUUGAGCUCCAUGAAAAUCUAUGGAAGCUUAGGGUGCUCUCAUGGUGAUCACCUAGGGUUUGUGUUAGAUGCCUUAGGGUUGGUCCAAUUAGGUUGGAGAUGAUAUUAGAGAGCUUCUUGGGUGGUUCUAAGCUUGAUUAUGCUUAGCAACAAGAUCAAUCCCAAGAAAUCUCAUUAUGGCAUUGUUAGGGCACCAAAUUUAGGGCUUUUGCCUCCGGGUGUUUUCGAGAUAAAUUGACCUUGUAGAAACCUAAUUGGGGGUAUAACGAACGUGUUGGUGUGCUCGGUUCGACAAUCCGACGAGUGUACGCGAAGUUAUUGACGAAACGGUCUGUUUUGGUACAGAUAGCCGCAGCACGCGGGAUAGACGCCCAAAAAUCAUGAAAAUGGAUCUGGAGCAUCGUGGUAACGGGGAAUAAACUCCCGAAUAGACGGAUCGCGGAUUGGUGGCCGUUCGGGUGGUCG